GCCAUCGUUGUGUAACGGUAGCACACUCGAAUCGUAUUCGAGAGUUCCGUGGUUCGAGUCCUGGCGAGGACA
rnacentral:tRNA from 1 species